rnacentral:tRNA from 1 species
GGGCCCGUAGCUCAGCAUGGUGGAGCGUCCGGCUCAUAACCGGAAGGUCCCGGGUUCAAAUCCCGGCGGGCCCA